UGUGCGCCUAUUACUCUAUUUAAAUGAGU
rnacentral:sRNA from 1 species